rnacentral:rRNA from 1 species
GAUGAACGCUAGCGGCAGGCCUAAUACAUGCAAGUCGAACGGAAUAUAGUUUUCGGAUUAUAUUUAGUGGCGCACGGGUGAGUAACACGUACAUAACUUACCCUCAAGAGGGGGAUAGCCUUGGAAAACUGAGCGUAAUACCCCAUAGUAUUAUUGAACGGCAUCGUUUGAUAAUUAAAGCUACGGCGCUUGAGGAUAGAUGUGCGUCUGAUUAGCUAGUUGGUAAGGUAACGGCUUACCAAGGCGACGAUCAGUAGGGGGCGUGAGAGCGUGGCCCCCCCACACGGGUACUGAGACAUGGACCCGACUCCUACGGGAGGCAGCAGUAAGGAAUAUUGGUCAAUGCCCGGAAGGGUGAACCAGCCAUGCCGCGUGAAGGAUGACUGCCCUCUGGGUUGUAAACUUCUUUUGGAUGGGACGAAAAACGGGAUUUAUCCUGGACUGACGGUACCAUCAGAAUAAGCACCGGCUAACUCCGUGCCAGCAGCCGCGGUAAAGUCUGUACU